UACGAAGGGUGCAAGCGUUACUCGGAAUUACUGGGCGUAAAGCGUGCGUAGGCGGUUUGUUAAGUCUGUCGUGAAAGCCCUGGGCUCAACCUCGGACUUGCAGUGGGUACGGGCAGACUAGAGUGUGGUAGGGGAGACUGGAAUUCCUGGUGUAGCGGUGGAAUGCGCAGAUAUCAGGAAGAACACCCGUGGCUAAGGCGGCUCUCUAGUACGGUACUGACGCUGAGACGCGAAAGCGUGGGGAGCGAACAGG
rnacentral:rRNA from 1 species